GUUGGAAUACAUGGAGUCAAUUUCUGACUUCAUUACUUUCAUCCAUUUCUCGGAGUCAACAUCUAACAUCACCUCAUUAUAGAUCUUGGAAUCAUUCCUAAUGUCCCUAUCUCCCAUAAGGAACACUUCUUCGAGAUUCUCUAUAAGAAUACCUAACUACCUUUCAAGAGAACGGGAGACCCUAUUUGAUCUACGAGAC
rnacentral:lncRNA from 1 species